rnacentral:rRNA from 1 species
UACAGAGGUCCCGAGCGUUGUUCGGAUUCACUGGGCGUAAAGGGUGCGUAGGUGGUGAGGUAAGUCGGAUGUGAAAGCUCGGAGCUCAACUCCGAAAUGGCAUUGGAAACUACCUUGCUCGAGGGUUGGAGGGGGGACUGGAAUACUUGGUGUAGCAGUGAAAUGCGUAGAUAUCAAGUGGAACACCAGUGGCGAAGGCGAGUCCCUGGACAACUCCUGACACUGAGGCACGAAAGCUAGGGGAGCAAACAGG